CCUACGGGUGGCAGCAGUGGGGGAUAUUGCACAAUGGGGGGAACCCUGAUGCAGCGACGCCGCGUGGGUGAAGAAGCGCCUCGGCGCGUAAAGCCCUGUCAGCAGGGAAGAAAAUGACGGUACCUGACGAAGAAGCACCGGCUAACUACGUGCCAGCAGCCGCGGUAAUACGGAGGGGGCAAGCGUUAUACGGAUUUACUGGGGGUAAAGGGGGCGCAGACGGCGAAGCAAGCCAGGAGUGAAAGCCUGGGGCUCAACCCCGGGACUGCUCUUGGAACUGUGUGUCUGGAGUGUAGGAGGGGUAGGCGGAAUUCUUGGUGUAGGGGUGAAAUGCGUAGAUAUCAGGAGGAACACCGGUGGCGAAGGCGGCCUGCUGGAAUGCAACUGACGUUGAGGCGCGAAAGCGUGGGGAGCAAACAGGAUUAGAUACCCGAGUAGUC
rnacentral:rRNA from 1 species